rnacentral:rRNA from 1 species
UACGUAGGUGGCAAGCGUUGUCCGGAUUUACUGGGCGUAAAGGGCGUGCAGGCGGCUUGUUAAGUCUAGGGUGAAAGCUCCCGGCUCAACUGGGAGAGGUCCUUGGAUACUGGCGAGCUUGAGGGAUGCAGAGGAAAGUGGAAUUCCCGGUGUAGUGGUGAUAUGCGUAGAUAUCGGGAGGAACACCAGUGGCGAAGGCGGCAUCCUGGACCAAUAUUGACGCUGAGGAGCGAAAGCCAGGGGAGCAAACGGG